GCUUGUCUCAAAGAUUAAGCCAUGCAUGUCUCAGUAUAAGCUUCUAUACGGCGAAACUGCGAAUGGCUCAUUAAAACAGUUAUAGUUUAUUUGGUGGUCAACUCUUACAUGGAUAACCGUGGUAAUUCUAGAGCUAAUACAUGCGUCAAAACCUGACUUCUUGGAAGGGUUGUGUUUAUUAGAUAAAAAACCAAUCCAUGCUCUGCAUGGUAUUGUGGUGACUCAUAAUAACCGAUCGAAUCGCAUGGCGUAAGCCGGCGAUAAAUCAUUCAAGUUUCUGACCUAUCAGCUUCCGACGGUAGGGUAUUGGCCUACCGUGGCUAUGACGGGUAACGGGGAAUUAGGGUUCGAUUCCGGAGAGGGAGCCUGAGAAACGGCUACCACAUCUAAGGAAGGCAGCAGG
rnacentral:rRNA from 1 species